CCCUUAGAUGUCCUGGGCCGCACGCGCGCUACACUGAUGCAUUCAACGAGCUUUACCUUGGCCGAGAGGCCUGGGCAAUCUUUUAAACCUGCAUCGUGAUAGGGAUAGAUUAUUGCAAUUAUUAAUCUUGAACGAGGAAUUCCUAGUAAACGCAAAUCAUCAAUUUGCAUUGAUUACGUCCCUGCCCUUUGUACACACCGCCCGUCGCUCCUACCGAUUGGAUGAUCCGGUGAGCUCUUCGGACUGCGCGGUCUGCAGUUUCUGCGUUCCGUGCGGAAAGUUGCGCAAACCUUAACAUUUAGAGGAAGGAGAAGUCAUAACA
rnacentral:rRNA from 1 species